rnacentral:rRNA from 1 species
GACGAACGCUGGCGGCGUGCUUAACACAUGCAAGUCGAGCGGUAAGGCCCUUUCGGGGGUACGACGAGCGGCGAACGGGUGAGUAACACGUGGGUGACCUGCCCUCAGUUCUGGGAUAAGCCUGGGAAACCGGGUCUAAUACUGGAUAUGACCUCAUGACGCAUGUUGUGGGGUGGAAAGCCUUGUGCGACUGAGGAUGGGCCCGCGGCCUAUCAGCUUGUUGGUGGGGUGAUGGCCUACCAAGGCGACGACGGGUAGCCGGCCUGAGAGGGCGACCGGCCACACUGGGACUGAGACACGGCCCAGACUCCUACGGGAGGCAGCAGUGGGGAAUCUUGCGCAAUGGGCGAAAGCCUGACGCAGCGACGCCGCGUGA